rnacentral:rRNA from 1 species
GACAGGAGGUGCCGAGCGUUUAGGCGGAAUCACUGGGCUUAAAGCGUGUGUAGGCGGGUCGUUAAGUGUCUUGUGAAAUCCCACCGCUCAACGGUGGAACUGCUGGGCAUACUGGCGAUCUUGAGCCACCUAGGGGCAGACGGAACAAGCGGUGGAGCGGUGAAAUGCGUAGAGAUCAGGAAGAACACCCGUGGCGCAAGCGGCCACCUGGCUGCCAACUGACGCUGAGGCACGAGAGCGUGGGGAGCGAACAGG